UUUAAGCUGCGUUAGGGAUUGUAAAGGAAAUCCUUUUUGUGAGGCACGAGCAAAAAGAUUGUAUUGUAAAGCCCGACCCUUA
rnacentral:sRNA from 1 species